rnacentral:rRNA from 1 species
AUGGAUGAUCCUGCCAGUAGUCAUAUGCUUGUCUUAUUGACUAAGCCAUGCAUGUCUAAGUAUAAGCACUUGUACUGUAAAACUGCGAAUGGCUGAUUAAAUCAGUUAUAAUUUAUUUGAUGGUAAAUACCACUUGGAUAACCGUGGUAAAACUAGAGAAAAUACAUGCGUAAAAACCUAACUAGAAAUGGAAAGGUUGUAUUUAUUAGAUAAAAAACCAAUAAAGUAAAGGGGUUAAACUUUUUAUUUUUUUAUUGGUGAUUCAUAGUAAUUAGACUAAUCGUAUAAUCUUGUAUUGACGAUAGUUCAUUCAAAUAUCUGCCCUAUCAACUUUCGAUGGUAGUAUAGAGGACUACCAUGGUGGUAACGGGUAACGGAGAAUCAAGGUUUGAUUCCAGAGAAGGAGCCUGAGAAACGGCUACUACUUCCAAGGAAGGCAGCAGGCGCGCAAAUGGCCCAAUCCCAAAACGGGGAGGUAGUGACAAUCCAUAACAAUAUUGGAUUUUAUAAAAAUAUCUAAUAAUUGGAAUGAGUACAAUCUAAACCCCUUAACGAGUAUCAAUUGGAGGGCAAGUCUGGUGCCAGCAGCCGCGGUAAUUCCAGCUCCAAUAGCAUAUAUUAAAGUUGUUGCAGUGAAAAAGCUCGUAGUUGGAUUUAAAAUAGAGAGAAAAAGUAUUAUAUGAAAGUAUAAUUAUUUUUUAUCUAUAUUUCAAUAUACUAAUAAUUCAUUAUUAUUUUUAAUUAAAUAGUAAUUAUUAAUUCUAAACGGGAUUAAUUUAUUUUAAGAAUGUAUUUAUUAAAAUGUGGAUAUUUAUACGAAGCACCUUGUAUAAAUAUACUGUUUAAUAAAUCUUUUUAAAAUAGAAUUUUAGUACAUUUACUUUGAGUGGAUUAGAGUGUUCAAAGCAAACUUACAAAUUGUAAUGAAUACUAUUAGCAUGGGUUAAUGGAACAAGAUAUUAAUCUUUUAUUUUUUCAUUGGUUUCUAAGAUUAAUUUAAUGAUUAAAAGGAUUAGUUGGGGGCAUUAGUAUUUAAUUGUCAGAGGUGAAAUUCUUGGAUUUAUGAAAGACUAUCUUCUGCGAAAGCAUUUGUCAAAGAUGUUUUCAUUAAUCAAGAACGAAAGUUAGGGGAUUUAAGACGAUCAGAUACCGUCGUAGUCUUAACUAUAAACUAUGCCGACCAAGGAUUGAAAGUUGGUAAUAAUUUAAAAAAUUAAAUCUUUUCAGAACUUUAUAAGAAAUUAAAAGUUUUUGGGGGCUGGGGGGAGUAUGGUCGCAAGGCUGAAACUUAAAGGAAUUGACGGAAGGGCACCACGAGGAGUGGAGCCUGCGGCUUAAUUUGACUCAACACGGGAAAACUUACCAGGUCCAGAAUCAGUUAGGAUUGACAGAUUGAGAGCUCUUUCUUGAUUCUGUGGGUGGUGGUGCAUGGCCGUUCUAAGUUGGUGGAGUGAUUUGUCUGGUUAAUUCCGAUAACGAACGAGACCUCAGUUAAUUAAUUAAAUAAAAAAACAUAAGCGAUAUAAGGGUUAGAUGAGAAUAUAUUGAUAUUUAUACCAAUAUAUCUUUU